UCUUUGCUAGUAUAUCGGUUAGUAUAACCGCCUCUCAAUAGGGAGCAGCUUCCCCUCAUCAGGAAACAUCGCGGUAGAGCAGGGUUCAACUCCCUGGCGGAGAA